rnacentral:rRNA from 1 species
UACGUAGGGGGCUAGCGUUGUCCGGAAUCAUUGGGCGUAAAGCGCGUGUAGGCGGCCCGGUAAGUCCGCUGUGAAAGUCCAGGGCUCAACCCUGGGAUGCCGGUGGAUACUGUCGGGCUCGAGUCCGGAAGAGGCGAGUGGAAUUCCCGGUGUAGCGGUGAAAUGCGCAGAUAUCGGGAGGAACACCUAUGGCGAAGGCAGCUCGCUGGGACGUUAACUGACGCUGAGACGCGAAAGCGUGGGGAGCAAACAGG